NNUGUCCCUAUAUCCCAUAUAGGGCCGCCAUUUUCCUCGCUCCCCCCUGUCAAUCACGACCUUCGCCCUUCUGAUUGGCUCUCCGCCACGCCGCUCUUCCCCAUCACCAUUCCCAUUGGUUGCGCGGGUAGGCGGGACCACCGUAUUGAGGCUCCCCCAUUGGACGCAGCCUUUCCCGCUCGCGGGGCUGUGGGCGGGAUUAUCGGGCCGCUCCGCGCGCUGAUUGGUUGAGGGGCUGAGAGCGGGAAGACGGGGAGAAAAUGGCGGCCCUAAGAGGAGGGGGGGACAAAAUGGCGGCCGCUGAGGGGAGGGGGCGGAAGCUGUUGUCGCCUUCCCCACAAGUUCUAUGGGGUCUCGUCCCCCCAUCGCACUUCAUGGCCCCCAAAGCCAGGUUGAUUGACGUGGAGAAGGGGCGGAGCCAAGAGAUGGGGGCGGAGCUUGGUAUGCAAAUGAGGCGGAACGAAGACAUGGGGGCGGAGCUUGGUAUGCAAAUGAGGCCGAGCCAAGUGAUGGAGGCUGAGCUUGAAGCUGAUAGGGGGCGGAGCUUAAGGCUGGAGGCGGAGCUUGAUAUGCAAAUGAGGCGGAACAAAGAGCUGGAGGCGGAGCUUAAGGCUGAAAAGGGGCGGAGCCAAGAGAAGGGGGCGGAGCCUGAUGGAGAGACCCCAUUGCUCCGUGCUCAGCUCAGCGCCCUCAGCCACAUCCUGACCCUACAAGAGAAGGAGCUGAACAGGGAGGUGAGAAAUAGGGGACCCCAUAGGGGGGCUAUGGGGGGUAAUGGGGGCCUAUGGGGUGUAAUGGGGGUCCUGUGGGGUCCUAUGGGGUUCUAUGGGGUCCUAUGGGGUGUAAUGGGGUCCUAUGGGGUUCUAUGGGGUGUAAUGGGGGUCCUAUGGGGUCCUAUGGGGUUCUAUGGGGUCCUAUGAGGUGUAAUAGGGGUCCUAUGGGUUCCUAUGGGGUGUAAUGGGGUCCUAUGGGAUGUAAUGGUGGUCCUAUGGGGUCCUAUGGGGGGUAAUGGGGGUCCUAUGGGCUGUAAUGGGGGGCUAGGGGGUGUAAUGGGGGUCCUGUGGGGUCCUAUGGGGUUCUAUGGGGUCCUAUGGGGUGUAAUGGGGGUCCUAUGGGGUGUGAUGGUGUGUAAUGGGGUCCUAUGGGGUGUAAUGGGGGUCCUAUGGGGUGUAAUGGGGAUCCUAUGGGGUGUAAUGGGGUGUAAUAGGGUCCUAUGGGGUGUAAUGGGGGUCCUAUGGGGUGUAAUGGGGGUCCUAUGAAGUGUAAUAGGGGUCCUAUGGGUUCCUAUGGGGUGUAAUGGGGUGUAAUGGGGUCCUAUGGGGUGUAAUGGGGGUCCUAUGGGGUGUAAUGGGGUGUAAUGGGGUCCUAUGGGGUGUAAUGGGGAUCCUAUGGGGUACAAUGGGGUCCUAUGGGGUGUAAUGGGGUCCUAUGGGGUAUAAUGGGGUCCUAUGGGGUGUAAUGGGGUCCUAUGGGGUAUAAUGGGGUCCUAUGGGGUGUAAUGGGGGUCCUAUGGGUUAUAAUGGGGGUCCUAUGGGGUGUGAUGGGGGUCCUAUGGGGUAUAAUGGGGUUCUAUGGGGUGUAAUGGGGUCCUAUGGGUUACAAUGGGGUCCUAUGGGGUGUGAUGGGGGUCCUAUGGGGUGUAAUGGGGGUCCUAUGGGGUAUAAUGGGGUCCUAUGGGGUGUAAUGGGGUCCUAUGGGGUAUAAUGGGGGUCCUAUGGGGCGUGAUGGGGGUCCUAUGGGGUGUAAUGGGGUCCUAUGGGGUAUAAUGGGGUCCUAUAGGGUUUAAUAGGGGUCCUAUGGGUUAUAAUGGGGGUCCUAUGGGGUUCUAUGGGGUGUAAUGGGGUCCUAUGGGGUGUAAUGGGGGUCCUAUGGGUUAUAAUGGGGGUCCUAUGGGGUGUAAUGGGGUCCUAUGGGGUGCAA
rnacentral:lncRNA from 1 species